GGGAGGUUAGUUGCGUAACCAAAUAAACUGCUACAGCGGGUCUCUGAUGAGUGACAACAGUGUGGCCGUGCUGAAAGUCGGUGUACCUCUUACCCACAUCCGAAUGAUCAGACGUAAAGGUUUGGAAAGAAAAUCCUCAGCCAUAAAAUGUGGGCCAUCGAGGAAAAGCUCAGGCCGUAGCCUACACUUCAACAGAUGAACUGGUCUUCGUCUGAGAGAAGUCGCCUUGCCGAAACUAUGUUGAACUCUCAAUAAGAAGAUCAUGACUGGCAUUGCUACAUGGGUUUCAUACAAGAAGCGGUCGAGCGCUGUAAAAAGAAAGAAGCUCUUGAAAUUUCUAUUCACCUUCCACGAACCAUUAUACAGGAGGCCUACAGGCUUAAUUUCCUGAGGGCCAUGGAGCAUAAGACGAGCCAGGCCCGUACCGAAACCUUUGUUCAAAUUCUAAGCAUACUGCGAAUCGCCUGCUUCUUGGCCAAUGCUCCAUAGUGUGUAUGCGCCAGUACUUCGAAGGCAAGCUUUAAUAUUGUCACCGUCUGCAAUGUGGGAAAAAGUGGACGCUGAUGGCGGCCUUGGAGACGAUGAAGACGAGUUUAGGUCCUUUUUUCGCUGCUCUAUGCAUGUUGGCUCCGCCAUUAAAAGCCAUCUGUACGCUUC